UACGAAGGGGGCUAGCGUUGUUCGGAAUUACUGGGCGUAAAGGGCGCGUAGGCGGUGUGUCAAGUCAGGCGUGAAAGCCCCGGGCUCAACCUGGGAACAGCGCUUGAGACUGGCACGCUCGAGUUCGGGAGAGGAUGGUGGAAUUCCCAGUGUAGAGGUGAAAUUCGUAGAUAUUAGGAAGAACACCAGUGGCGAAGGCGACUUACUGGACACAUAUUGACGCUGAGGUGCGAAAGCGUGGGGAGCAAACAGG
rnacentral:rRNA from 1 species